CUGGGUCUGACCUCUGUAGCUUCCCAUCCAGGGGGCCUGACCCUGCCUCCUGGGCUCACAGAGCCAGCCUGUGCCUUCCAGGAUGGAACCAUGACGGGGCCCUAUCCCGGUAGGAUGAACUGACAUCCAUUUUGCCUGAGGGUUCCAGUUGACAUCUAUUCCUAGUGCCUCCUUUCACUCCCCAAAGUGAGAUCAGCCAUGUAUCAUCAGUUAUCCAGUCUGUGCAGUAAAGAGGGUGCUGGGGCCCAGACCCCAGCCCUGAACCCUGCUGCAUGGACUCCUGGCAACUGUCCUUAGGCUCUCUCGAGGCCCAGCUUCCUGUUGGGGAGAACAGUGCCCACCCGAUUUGUGGGUGAAGGUGUGAGCGCUCUGUAUGGCCCUCUCCUUCCCACAGUCCUGGCUGGAGGCUUCGGAAGCCCACUGGGCCCUAUGGAAUGGAGACACACAGGGCAUUUGAGCCCCAGCCUCCCAGAAGGGGCAGGAAGUGUGGGAAAGAGAUGUCAUUGGUGUGAAGCCCACAGCUGCGCCUAGCAUGUCUGUAGAGGGAACCAGUGACUUCAAGAGUGGAAGCUUGUCAUCAAGAUGGAAAAGGAUGCGACCAGCAUUUGGGGUGGCCAAAUGAAGACGGCCAAAUGCCACCAUGUAUCUCAGGAGGAGGCCCAGCACUGUCCUGUCCAACCCACCUAUACCCCAAACCAACCCUUCCAAGACCCCUGGGAAGGGCUGUCCUGGAGCGUGGGUGGGGCAGGAGGUGGCUGGCAGACACACCCUGGGUUGUGGUGAUGGCUAGCAGGCUGUAGACCAUGACAAGAAGUGGCUCCUCCUCGGGGUGGCUCUGAAGAGCACUCAGCAGGGUGGAGGUGAUGGCUUGGUUGCAGGGAGCCUUGGCUUCCGGGUGGUGCACCAGCGCUGCUCAAGCCAGAGGAAGACGCCUGGGGUUAGCCCCACAGCUCAGGCAUGGGGCCAGACACACAAGGCUCACAGGCUGGGGGAUAGCAUCUCCACUUUGCAUGAAGGAAACCGAGGUCUGCCUUGUUCUGACCCAGAGCAGGCCUCCAUGAAUCCCUGUGGCCUAAUGGAGUGAAGGACCGGAAGGGAGCCCUGCCCGGCCAGGCCACGCAUCCUGGUCCCUGGGAGCCAGUCAGGCAGCACUGAACACAAUUUCAACAUUGCAUGGAACUCCUGAUCUCAAGUGAUCUGCCCACCUCAGCCCCUCCCAAAGUGCUGGGAUUACAGGCAUGAGCCACUGCGCUGGGCUGCAAGCCCAUUUCUAAGCAAGGCGUGGAGGGAGGUGUGGCUCCGGGUGGUGGGAAAGACCUACCCUUUGGGAUGGGGCCCAACAGCUUCCCUAGUUUCCCCAGGGAGGCAAAGUCUCUCUUCCCAGGGACUCUGUCCUGGUCACAGCUGAGCUACAAAAGGGGUCGAAGAGGAGGAGGGGAGGGAGGGAA
rnacentral:lncRNA from 1 species